UGACACCCUGCUGUCCCAGAGAGGCUCUUCUCAUGGGGACAGAGUGACAGAUUGCCUUCCCACCCUGCCUGGAGGAGCCAGCGGCCCGUGGCAGCAACAUGGCGGUGUAACAAGGACACCAGCUAUCGUUAAGUACACUUCUGGAUAAACACUUCUGGAUAAACAGAAGAAACAGUACAUGGCAAUAAUUGCCUUUCCAGUUUCACUAUUUGAGUCACUACUUUUGUAGCCUACCUGAAGAUGAAGAGCUUGGAGGCUUUCAGGGAGCGGCAAGGGAAUAUGAUCCAAGUUAUUGUCAGUGAUGUAAAGAUGCUGCAGUUCAUUCAGAUCCUAGAGGAUGAAGGAAAAAGAUAAAUACACAGUGUUCCCAUCUGCACCACUGACAGUAGACAGCUUAACCAGGAAUGGACUUGGGGACAAAUCAAAAGAAGACUUUAGGAACAAAGGAAAUGGGACAGCUGUUCUCUGAAUGGAGGAAGUCCGGAGGGAGAGAGAUGCAUUCCAGGCUUUUAUUGACCCAGGUUAGUACUGCACUACAGUUCUUGUGU